UGAGGAAUAUUGGUCAAUGGGCGCAAGCCUGAACCAGCCAUCCCGCGUGCAGGAAGACGGCCCUAUGGGUUGUAAACUGCUUUUCCAGGGGGUGAAACUCCCGUACGAGUACGGGACUGACGGUACCCUGGGAAUAAGCAUCGGCUAACUCCGUGCCAGCAGCCGCGGUAAUACGGAGGAUGCGAGCGUUAUCCGGAUUUAUUGGGUUUAAAGGGUGCGUAGGCGGAUUAAUAAGUCAGUGGUGAAAUCCUGCAGCUUAACUGUAGACUUGCCGUUGAUACUGUUUAUCUUGAGUAUGGUCAAGGCAGGCGGAAUGUGUAAUGUAGCGGUGAAAUGCUUAGAUAUUACACAGAACACCGAUUGCGAAGGCAGCUUGCUGGGCCAUUACUGACGCUGAUGCACGAAAGCGUGGGGAGCGAACAG
rnacentral:rRNA from 1 species